rnacentral:rRNA from 1 species
GGGGGCAACCCCUUGAGAGUGGCGAACGGGUGAGUAAUAUAUCGGAACGUGCCCAGUCGUGGGGGAUAACGUAGCGAAAGUUACGCUAAUACCGCAUACGAUCUAAGGAUGAAAGCGGGGGAUCGCAAGACCUCGCGCGACUGGAGCGGCCGAUAUCAGAUUAGAUAGUUGGUGAGGUAAAGGCUCACCAAGCCAACGAUCUGUAGCUGGUCUGAGAGGACGACCAGCCACACUGGAACUGAGACACGGUCCAGACUCCUACGGGAGGCAGCAGUGGGGAAUUUUGGACAAUGGACGAAAGUCUGAUCCAGCCAUUCCGCGUGCAGGAUGAAGGCCCUCGGGUUGUAAACUGCUUUUGUACAGAACGAAAAGGUCUCCAUUAAUACUGGGGGCUCAUGACGGUACUGUAAGAAUAAGCACCGGCUAACUACGUGCCAGCAGCCGCGGUAAUACGUAGGGUGCAAGCGUUAAUCGGAAUUACUGGGCGUAAAGCGUGCGCAGGCGGUUAUAUAAGACAGAUGUGAAAUCCCCGGGCUCAACCUGGGAACUGCAUUUGUGACUGUAUAGCUAGAAUACGGUAGAG